rnacentral:tRNA from 1 species
GCCUCGGUAGCUCAGCCUGGCAGAGCAACAGUCGUUACAAAUGCACGGUUGAGCCUUGUAAAGAAUAAUCAAGCCAGCUGUGGGUCGCGGGUCCAAAUCCCGCCCGAGGCU